rnacentral:lncRNA from 1 species
AUGGACGUGGAAAUCUAUCGCUUCAAGAAAUGGACAAAUUACAUAUUUUGGUACCAGAAUCGCUGUUUUGAAAUCAAGGGCCUGUGGCUUCACUAUUACUGGGACACGGAUGACAUUGGCAACGUCAUACGUGGCAGCAUGAAUCUCAAGAAUGCCACAGCACGGAGGAUCAAUGAGAAAUAUCUGCAUUUGUCUAAUCAUAAUGUAAUAUACUACCUCAAGUCAGACAGUAAGAAGGACAUGGAUAUCUUUGUCAGGAGGCUUAAGGAAUUAAAUGUCAUCAUCACUGACAGCUAGUGGAGAAGCAUCUUGUGCUUAACAAUGUGUUAAUUUUUUUUUCGUUGUGAAAAAAUAUUUUCAUGAGAAAGGCUAUAUGUAUAUCCAUUGCCAGUGACUCCUCCAACUGUGGAAAUAUCAAAGUAUUUUAAAUUGUCUGUUGUUGCACAGUUAAAAGAAAAUAUUACCCAUCUUGUGCUGCUUGUUUGCAAGAUAGCAAUGAAACGUCACAACGUGUUGGAAUAUUUAGGAUCUGAACUACAAGAAAAUGUCUUCAGCUUUGAAAAUGUAGUAUUUGCAGCUGAUGAUGCCAACAUUACCUUUGGAGAAACUCUUUGUAGGUAUUAUUGGAAAGCAGGACUGAACUCACACACUGCGUAGGCAAUGCAAAAUACAAAAAGGUUACUAUUUGAGUUUGAAUGUUUUCGAUUUUUUUUUUAUUUUUUUUUUUUGUGAGAGAGAGAUAGGGGUGGUGGUCCUGUAUGGAGUCAGGAGUUAGACUUAAUAAUCUGUGUGGGUCCCUUCCAACUCAGGAUAUUGUAGGAUACUAGGGUCUUUUUUUUUCAUCUUCUUUCUUCAUUUAGCAAAUUUUUCAGACUCCCAGGAUUUACUUUCAUAGAUGUACAUUUUUACAGAUUUACAUUUAAUUUUCCAGAUUCAAUUUUUCAAACUGUAAAACGUGGAAGUGGCCACUGGACAUAGCUUUUUUUUAGACUCUGAUAUUGAAAGGAUGUUAAAAGAGUUUCACCUUAUUAGACAGUAUUGCUUUAUGUGCAUUGAGGCUUGCCCAGUCAUUAUUUUGCUUUUUACGUAGGAUGAUGGAAUUACGUUUUCAGGGAGCAAUGUAGUUUUCAUGUGUAUGAUUCACUUCAAACUCCUGGUCUUUCAUUUCUUUUCACACAGGGAAUUUCUUAUGUCUGUUCUUAUCUCACACGGGCUCUGGAAUUAACACUCCCCUGGAAGGGAUGCAGACGUGCUCAGUGGGGGUUCAAAUAACACUAAGAGACUAAUCAGACCUGACCCCGCCUGUACUGCAGAGUUUUAUGAAUUAGCUGAAAAAUAAAGGUGUAAGAUGUGUAAGAAAUUGUAAAUAA